AGGAUUCAGUGAGUCAUCGAAAUUUUGAACGCAUAUUGCACUUCCGGGUUAGUCCUGGAAGUAUGCCUGUAUCAGUGUCC